rnacentral:sRNA from 1 species
GCGAUAUGUAACUACAUUUUUUAACAAUUGUUUUCACUUUAUUUCUCCCUUUCUAUUUAUUUUAUUUCAUCGCAACUGUAGCCUAAAGAAAAGGACUGGAAUGUUUUGUGUGUGUGUGGGGGGGGGGGGGGGUGUUUUCCCUGGGUCGUCAAAUGAUUCUUCAAUCGCCGUAAAAAUAAUACAUGUUUGACCUCCUCUCCCAGAGUUUUAACUGUUUCAUAUAUCCCUAUGAUGAAAGUCCCAGGACAUCUACUUAGUGACUUAAUGGUUUAACACAUGUUGUCAUCUAGCCACCUACAAAACCAAGCACCUGCUAAUGAUGCUAGUUAUUUAUUUUGCUUAUGCCAUUCACAGGACGACUUACCAAUAUAUAAAUAUUUAUUGUUAUAUGGGAAGUUGUCUAUGUUAAAACCAGAAAUUAUCUGUGUGUUUUAAAAGUCAAUGAGAUCAGUUAUUUUGGAUAUAAAUAUGGGUCAGCUUCAUUAUUCAACAGAGUGGAAACAAAAGGAGAGAUUGUAACUUUAUGCUUCUUAGAAAUUUAGUUUAGAUCCAAGAUUGGGAGUCAAUAGAUCGCUUUAAUAUAAUUAGCUUUUUUCAUCAGUUUAGGUUCCCCUCCUGUUAAUUUUUUUUUGCAUUGUGAGAAUCUCGUGCAUUGUUUAAAUCGCUUUAUUCAAUCUUCUAUAGAUUUUGAUUGAUCAUGGAAUGUUACGAUUCUUCUCUUUUGCUUAAGGUGGUAUGAGACACCUCCAUAUUGUGACGUACUAUAGAAAGAAAUGUAAAGGUUCAUACUUUUAUCAACAGUAAUAUCGACAGGUCUUCCAUACCACCUUAACAUGUUUGUACUAUUAUUUUCUCUUUGGUUGGUGCUGAUGAUGUUUUGUUCAUUUACAAUGUAAUUAACGUAACAAAUGUGUAUCACCUCCUCCAUUUCUUAAAUCCUGUGAAUUGACCCAGUGUUCUGUAAAGAAAAGGUUGAGAUGCAUUCUGUUUUAAAUGUAACGCAUAAUUGUAAACAUUGUUAUGAAACUUUCCUUGAGAGCUGUUGAACAUAGAAAAAAACAAUACUAAAAUGACACUCAUUUGCUGUAAAACAUUGUGUUAUUUAUUUAACUUAAAGUUUGUUUCGUCAUGUUUAUUCUUCGCUGUCAGACAUUUAUUUUACUGGAAACAAUAAAACAAAAUCCUAUG